GAGAGACAACAGAUUUAUAUCCCAGACACAUUCACCCUGGCCCCAGAGCCACUGCCACUGCAGGAUUGAGGCACAUACUUCUAUUGGCUCCUUCUUCUUCCUGGAGUUGGUCAGAGCAGAAGCUCCCAGCCUAGCAGAAAGG
ensembl:misc_RNA